GUGUGUGAUGAUAAGGGACCACAUGGAGUGGUGAAGAUAACUUACCCGUCUGAAU
rnacentral:snoRNA from 2 species